rnacentral:rRNA from 1 species
GAGCGGGCAUCGCAAGAUGUCAGCGGCAGACGGGAGAGUAACACGUGGGAACGUGCCCUUCAGUUCGGAACAACCCAGGGAAACUUGGGCUGAUACCGGAUACGUCCGUAAGGAGAAAGAUUUAUCGCUGAAGGAUCGGCCCGCGUAUGAUUAGCUAGUUGGUGGGGUAAUGGCCCACCAAGGCGACGAUCAGUAGCUGGUAUGAGAGGAUGAUCAGCCUCACUGGGACUGAGACACGGCCCAGACUCCUACGGGAGGCAGCAGUGGGGAAUAUUGGACAAUGGGCGCAAGCCUGAUCCAGCCAUGCCGCGUGGGUGAUGAAGGCCCUAGGGUUGUAAAGCCCUUUCGGCGGGGAAGAUAAUGACGGUACCCGCAGAAGAAGCCCCGGCUAACUUCGUGCCAGCAGCCGCGGUAAU